AACGUAGGAGACGAACGUUAUCCGGAAUUACUGGGCGUAAAGCGUGCGCAGGCGGUUUUGUAAGUCAGAUGUGAAAUCCCCGGGCUUAACCUGGGAACUGCGUUUGAAACUACAAGGCUAGAGUGUGGCAGAGGGGGGUGGAAUUCCACGUGUAGCAGUGAAAUGCGUAGAGAUGUGGAGGAACACCGAUGGCGAAGGCAGCCCCCUGGGUUAACACUGACGCUCAGGCACGAAAGCGUGGGGAGCAAACAGG
rnacentral:rRNA from 1 species